rnacentral:tRNA from 1 species
GCCUAGCUGGCUCAGUUGGUUAAGCGUCUGACUUCGGCUCAGGUCACGAUCUCAUGGUACAUGGGUUUGAACCCCGUGUCGGGCU